CGUCCGCCUGCUGCGGGCAUAUAAAGUGGCAGUGCGUGUCGAUGCCGCCCGCCGUGAUGAUUUUGCCUUCGCCGGCAAUGACGUCUGUGUUGGAGCCGAUGAUCAGGCUCGGCAGGACGCCAUCCAUGACGUCUGGGUUGCCCGCCUUGCCGAUGCCUACAAUGUGCCCGUGGCGCACGCCAAUGUCGGCCUUGAAGAUGCCGCUCCAGUCCACAAUGAGGGCGUUUGUGAUGACGAGGUCCAAGCAGUCGGCGGCGGCGCGGCCGCUGGCCUGGCCGAUGCCGUCGCGGAG
rnacentral:sRNA from 1 species